rnacentral:rRNA from 1 species
AUUGAACGCUGGCGGCAUGCCUUACACAUGCAAGUCGAACGGCAGCACGGGAGCAAUCCUGGUGGCGAGUGGCGAACGGGUGAGUAAUAUAUCGGAACGUGCCCAGUCGUGGGGGAUAACGUAGCGAAAGCUACGCUACUACCGCAUACGAUCUAUGGAUGAAAGCGGGGGAUCGCAAGACCUCGCGCGAUUGGAGCGGCCGAUAUCAGAUUAGGUAGUUGGUGGGGUAAAGGCUCACCAAGCCGACGAUCUGUAGCUGGUCUGAGAGGACGACCAGCCACACUGGGACUGAGACACGGCCCAGACUCCUACGGGAGGCAGCAGUGGGGAAUUUUGGACAAUGGGCGCAAGCCUGAUCCAGCAAUGCCGCGUGCAGGAUGAAGGCCUUCGGGUUGUAAACUGCUUUUGUACGGAGCGAAAAGGCUCUCUCUAAUACAGGGGGCUCAUGACGGUACCGUAAGAAUAAGCACCGGCUAACUACGUGCCAGCAGCCGCGGUAA